rnacentral:rRNA from 1 species
AUGGGUGAAAUGAAUAUCGAUAUUGCAAUCUCACGUAAUCAGGACAGGAUAGCCUUUGCGGCAAUUUGUCGAGAUCAUACGGGGUUGUUUUUGGGCGCCUCAGCUGUAACAGUGGAUGAUCUGUUCGAUCCAGAAACACUUGAAGCAAUGGCACGCAACGAAGGUCUGUUGUUGGCACUCGAGGUCGGUGUACAAAAGGUACAGAUCACCACCAAUUGUUCUGCAAUAGUUAAACACAUUCAAGAACCUUUCCUAACUCCAAGGAAGGUUGUGGUGGAGAAAUCAAGACAAAGCUCUUGA